GUGGAAAUUCCUUUCAUAUUGUAUGGACAACCUGACUGGCUCAGUUUUCAGAUCUCACCUGAAGAAGGCAAGCUCUCAGUUACACCAGGAAGAUAUUUUAUGGAUAUAAACACUAACUGGACUGACCUGGUCAAAGUAAAGUCAAUACAACAUUGGUCAUGGAAAUAUUGUCAAAACAAUAGAAUUGUGUUGGCAAGGAAAUUAAUCUGGAAAUAAUAAAUAGUUCUGCCAACCAGGCCAGCCUGGCUUCCAUAUUGAUAGCCCCUAUGGCUAUAAUCUAUUCUUGCUUAUUGCAGAAUGCUCCCACAAUGAGUUCAUGCCACUGUUGUUAGAGAACCUCCAAGAAACAUGUAUUAAUUGUUUCAAAAUUAAUUAAAGACAAAAAUUUGCUUGAUUUUGUAUAUUUAUUUAUUUAUUUUAAUUCAACUUGCAUGGUUAAAGAAUAAUUAUCCAAUUGGGACGUUCCAGAAAAGAUCCACACUCCCCCCACCGAGGAAAUUUCUGCCGUCCGGAGGGGGAGGGGAGAAAAAAUUGUUUCUGAUAAUAGUAAAUGUACGUAAUUUCCUCCGUGGGGGUGGUAUGGAUGUUUUCUGGAAUAUGACCCAUUAGCAGUAAAUAAUAUUAAAACCUAACUGUACAAUCAAGUUACAUGUAAUACUUAACAGUAUUAUUAAAAAAUUAAAACUAGAGCUCAUGGGUUAUUCUUUGGCUGUUUGUAGUACAUACAUAUAAAUAACACAUUCCCACAAAAUUAUAGAGAAAAGUAAUUGUUAGUUCUGGCAUGCAGUUAAGUCUGGCAAGAGCUAGUGCACCACUUAACUCUUGCUAUUUGAACAUUCGAAAGAACUUGUAUUAAUUUCUUGU